UGGUUUGGCAUGGAGAGAUAAUCGUACGUGGUUUGGUGAAGCUUCGCUUUCAAAAGCAAUCUGACGGUCGGCCGAGUGUUUUAAUCCUUUUCCUUGAUUACACCGAAUACAAAUCCUGCGGCCCUUCACAAAAAAAAAAAGAAAAACCAUUUGAUUCAAUGACUUCUUCUACUUGUUGUUCGUCUAUCAUCCCUUCUCAACUUCACAACAGAGCUUCAAUUAGAAGAAUCACCACAAACAUUAUUUGGGUUUCCCCCAAAUUAGUUAAAGUACAGAAAACCAAAGAAUAUCACUUAAAAUCAUGUUUUAGUGCUACUACUGCUGCUGCAAAUCCAGAAUUAAGAGGAGGAGAUAAGUACGGUGUGGGCGAUAAGGAUGGUGUCAUCAUUGUUGAUCAUGGCUCUAGGCGCAAAGAAUCUAAUCUUUUGCUAAAUGAUUUUGUAGCCAUGUUUAGAGAUAAAACUGGUUACCCAAUUGUGGAGCCUGCUCACAUGGAGUUGGCAGAACCGUCAAUUAAAGAUGCAUUCGGUUCAUGUGUGCGACAAGGGGCAAACCGAGUAAUUGUCAGUCCAUACUUUCUUUCCCCUGGAAGGCAUUGGAAGCAGGAUAUCCCAAGCUUAACUGCUGAAGCUGCAAAGGAGCAUCCGGGUGUCACAUACUUGAUAACUGCACCUCUUGGCUUGCAUGAGCAAAUUGUGGAAGUAGUGAAUGACAGAAUCAAGCACUGCAUAAGCCAUGUAGCUGGAGAUGCAGAGGAAUGUGCAGUUUGUGUUGGAACAGGAAAAUGUCGUCUGUAUCAUGUUGAAUCAUAAUGAUCCUUUGCUACUGGUUUUAGAUCCAUCUUCAUGUGGAGACCUGUGAUUCACAUACAUGCAACUGAAGUGGAAAAAGAGUAUACAGUAUUUGCGGAUCCAAGAGCCUCGCCCAUCGUGAAAGUGUUUCUUGCGUUGUGUACACAUUCUCUGCAACCUACAAAAUCGAACGCAUAAUCAGUUUUGGGUUCAAUUAUCAGGUGAAAUUUUCCCUAAGAAGAAAUCUUAUAUCCCGUAAGUCCUUGAUUAUCCCGUAAGUCCUUGAUUAUCCAGUUGAUUGAUGUCGGGUGUCUGUCUCUGAAGUUACAAGAGACAGAGUGAUUAUUUAAUUUGGCUAACUUAUGUUGAUAAUGAUUUAUUAGUUAGGUUAGAUGAGAGAAUGACCUAUGCAUAAAUUCUCAUCCACAAAAAGAGCUUGGGGUCUCAUAGGCCCUUUCCAUGCACUAUAACCUAAUUCAGAAAACCCAUCUCUUGAUUUUCCGCUAAGAGAAGUAUCAUCAUAUUCUCUUCUCAUAUCCUUUCUCAUCAAAACAUGGUAAGCUUCAUUUAGCUUCAGAGCAUACUCAUGACCCUGAAAACAUAACACAAAACUGGGAAAAAUUAGUAAGCUGAGAAAUUAAGUAUCAGAAACCACUCCUAGGCCUUAACCAAGCUUGUAGCGUGUUAUAGCAUCCGACCUUUUGGCCUGCAAUAUCUGGGUGAUAUUUCUUCUGCAACUUUCUGUAAGCAUCUUUGAUUUCUUUUGGUUUUGAGUUAACAGAAACUCCAAGCAACUCAUAAUAGUCAUCUGUGUUCCUGCUGCAACACUUGAUUGCAGAAGGUUUCUGCCUCCAUCUUCAUGACAGAGGAAAACAAGCAAAAAAGAAAAAAAACUUUCUACUGAGAACCAUUUGGAAAUGAUCGAGAAAAGCUUGUCAAUCAGAACUUUGCAAUCAUCAGAUAGAAUUACCUGGAAACAGUUUGGUUUGGAUGGCUAUGGCGGGUCAAUUGUGUUGUCGAGUAUGUGUAAAUUGAGCCUGUAAAGACUAACAUGAUUCUCCUCUACCGUUGGCCUGAUAUUUUUGGGGAAUAUUCAACUCUGAACUAUCCAUUUUUAUUUAGUAAAGAUAGUUGCAGAAACCAAUAGAUAAUAUUGUUCACCAAGUUUGGAAAUAUCUUUGGCGGAAAUAAUGACUGGAAAGAUUAGUUUGAAUCAAAAGAGUGUCUUGAUUUUGAUAUUUUUGUCUUGGUUAUUUGAUAUUUUCUCUUCUUCAAUGAGAAAGAAAAAUCAAUUGAAGGCAUAGAGAAUUAGAGAUAUUUUUUGGAACAACUGUAUGAACAAGUCAAGUCCAGAUCAGUCAUCUUCGUCGAGAAGAUAUCUGAACCUCGAUGUCUUGCAGAGGUACAGCUCAUUAAGGUUGUUCGUGAUUGCUUGCCCUAAAAUGUUGUCAAAUCUCACUAGCAAAUCUCCGCCCUUUAACUGAUGAACAAUAAUUUUAAUACAGUAGAAAACUAAGAAGAAAACCCAUCAAGAAAGAAAUGCCAAAACCUGGUAGUCUGGUAGACCAGGGGUAAUUUUUAUUACCUUUUAUACUUUUAUAUAUAAGAAUAAAUUAUCUCUGUAAAUUACAGUUAUUUGGUUUUUAUUACACUUCAAGAGUUGUGGACUUCUAGUUCUACACUACUCACUAACCUGAAUCAAAAUAGUGGCUA